AUCUCCCUUACAGCUUGGCGCGCCAAAGGAAAAGAAAAUUAUUUAAAUUGCAUCAUAACUUAUUUGUUUACCAAAGUAGAACUGAGACGACUUCAUGAGUUUAUAAUCUAUCUGCUGUUUGAAGAUCUGAAAGAUUUUCCAUCUUCACUCAGUGUUAUGUUUGAAGGAAAGGAAUUCUAUUUGUGUCUAUCCCGGUUGCCUCCUGUAAGUUUGGCCAAAGACAAGAGUGAUGUCAUUGUAACUAAACCAAGCAUCCCUUUCACAGAACUCUUCCAACCUCUUUUGAUAGACCCUUCACCGACUGACAAGAACCAAUGUGAAACCAAAUAAAAGAGAAUAUUGUUGUUUUUGUUAA